rnacentral:Y_RNA from 1 species
GGCUAGUCCAAAGAUAGUGAGUUAUCCCAAUUGAUUGUUCACAGUCAGUUACAGAUCACAGAUUUAACUCCUGUUCUAACUUUCCCCCCUUCUCAUUACUGCACUUGACUAGUCUUAA